CCCCCGCCCAGAGGGAACCGGGCGAAGGGACUCUGGUGGUCAAAGCCAGGGGUGAAGGUGGAGCUGGUGUUCUGCCCGUCACACCCUGGCUUGGGCAGGGAGUUCCCAGGCCCUCCCCCGGUGCCCUCCCCGCCCCCCCAAGAUUCCCUGCGAUUGUGGAAACUGCUUUUCAAGGCUUGGGGACAUUGAGGCCGGCCCCGCGAUGGGCGGGCUGGCCGAGGCUGCCACGCCGCCCAAUGCUGUGGACCGACCCUGCCUGAGGCUGAAGGUUUAUGUGCGGCCGACCAACGAGACCCUGUACGAGGCCCCGGAGCCCAUCUUCACCAGCAAUAACUCGUGCAGCGGCUUGGGCGCCUGCCAGCUGGUGCUCAGCACUGUCCCCGUGCUGUGGACCCUCCUGGGCUCCUAGUCCCCGCCCACCGGACGGCCCGCCCAGAGGCCAGCUAGAGGCUCGGUUUCUCCCUCAACCGGUGCUGCCCCCGCCAGGACCAGCCCUGGGGCCGCGGCUCAGGGCGCGGAUGCCCCAGAGGCUGGGCGUCUGUCCAGCCUCCCGACCGGGCCGUCCCCGGAGGCUGGAGAAGCCACGGACCUCUCGGCAGUGGUUUUCUUUUAUGACUGAAUCAGAAAGACUUGAGUUUUUAAUUUAAUUUAUUGCUUGCUGUUGCCGGUGACUUUGGGAAGGAAACAGAGUGGAUGCUGUGGGUCCCUGGGCCCCUGGUCCGGUCACUCCAUUUGUUGGUUCCGGGCUGGAGCCCUCCGUGGACCUCCCCGGUGCCCGGGACAGGGCGGUCUGAGACGGAGGGGGCCUAAUUCUGGUCCGGGAAUCCGAGCCCGCCCCCUGCCCCGCUCCCGGGAUGACGACGGUUUCCCCGAGUGGAAAUCCGUGGAAAUCCGGGUGUUUGAUGUGGAGCGCUGGCCCCAUCACAAUCCCCGCCCCCUCGACUUAGAACCCCUUAGGCCCCACCCACCCGGUCCCCCCAGCCUCUCGCGAACCCCCGAGGCCCCCGAGGCCAAGAAGACCCGAUGGUUUCUGUAAAUAGAGCCAGCAAGUAUAUACUGUGAUUUAUUUUUACUGUAUUCCUAAGGAGGGCCUGGAAAGUUUUUUUUUUUCUUACCCCUUCACGGGAGGGGGGGCACUUUUAUUUUGGUGGGGGGUGGGGGGACUUUUAGAGUAGAAACUGCACUUCGCAGUAAGCUCGCGUGUCUGUCAGAGCCCCUCCCCUACUCUCGGAACUAAUACUGUUUAUAAGAAAAGAGAAAACAGGACAAAACAAAACGCGGGGGCCACCACCAAGAAAAGACCCCCCCCGACACUUUAAAGAAGCAAACUGCAUUUAUACAGAUUUCAUAUUUCCUACCCACCUCUCCUGAUCUGUGUUUUAUAUAUAUUAUAUAUAGAUCUAUAUGGUGCCAGGCCGCUGGGAGAGGCUCCUGGAUGCCCGCCGGGGGCGGGGGCUUUUGUAGGGGGCAGCGUGGGCGGGCGGCGUUGCCACGCCUGGAGCUGGCGACCUGGACCCCCCCUCCAUUACAAUCAACUUUGGAUUCUGUAUUUUUUUAUAAUAAAAUGAGCGUAAACUUCAA